rnacentral:misc_RNA from 1 species
GAUGAAGAACGCAGCGAAAUGCGAUAAGUAGUGUGAAUUGCAGAAUUCAGUGAAUCAUCGAAUCUUUGAACGCACAUUGCGCCCUUUGGUAUUCCAAAGGGCAUGCCUGUUCGAGCGUCAUUUGUACCCUCAAGCUUUGCUUGGUGUUGGGCGUCUUGUCUCUAGCUUUGCUGGAGACUCGCCUUAAAGUAAUUGGCAGCCGGCCUACUGGUUUCGGAGCGCAGCACAAGUCGCACUCUCUAUCAGCAAAGGUCUAGCAUCCAUUAAGCCUUUUUUUCAACUUUUGACCUCGGAUCAGGUAGGGAUACCCGCUGAACUUAAGCAUAUCAUAAGCGAGGA